rnacentral:piRNA from 1 species
UCCCAGAGGAGUCUGUAAAGAAGUAAAAG